CUUGUCCACCGGGCAGCCGAAGACCGGAAGUCGUCGAAGCCUUUCCUUGCUAAAGUGACCCUCGAGGCCUGCACCUGCUGACAACUCACCCGCUGCCCUGAGGGUCCACCUCAGCCUCCUCGGGCUGGCGGAAGCAGCCUUCUGUGAUCCGCCCUCUGCUUGCUUAGCUUUCUGCUCGGUCCCUGGACCCUGCCUGUCCUCCUGGCUGGCCUUGCCCUGCUGUUCCAGCCACGCCGACCCCUCCCUUUCCUCCCUUCUCCACCUGCGUUCACCGUGGACACAGAGGCCUCCACACGGCACUGCCCCCACGUUGCUGUGAUGGGAGGGACGUGGUGUCCACAUGCACUUUGUGCCCGACUGCACAGCGGCCUGGUGAGCGCCUCCGCCAGGUGUCACCGCGAUCUCACACUCCUCGGAGUAGAGCCCCAGUUCAUUUCUUCCUGAAGCUCCAGUUGGGCCCGUGGGUCCUGCCUGCACAGGAAGUGGCACGGCACCCCCCAGGGUGCUCAGGGCACACUGUGGGUGGCACUUUUCUGUCGCUCCACACCCCCUUCCAUCGCGAGUCCUGCUGCUUGGACAGCCACCCGUGGGUUCCACAUCCGUGGAUUCAACCAACCUCAGGGCCUGCAAGAUUCUGGGGGACCUGGCCCUGACUUGACCCCAUCUUCAGCUACAGACCUCCAAGGCCACCACCACCAUAAGUCAUGUCAGCUGGGCUGUUUUCUUCUGUGCAUGGCGCUGCCCAGGAAAACGGAACACAUUGGCACAAACAACUUCAAUGUCACUGAUGAACCUUGGUGCCUAAGGGACAGUCCCCAAGACUCGAGGUUCAUUUUGCUUCUGGCUGGGGAGUUAUUUGAUUUAGGAGGGGUGGUUUGAAUCCUGGCUGCCCCCCUGCUGCCCCCAAGGAGAACUGCUGGGUUGGGAGGUCUUGGUGAGGCCUUCACCGGAGCGCAGCCUGCUGCAUCUGCAGCCCAGCCAGCCAGGGAGGGAAGGGGAGCCAGCGCUCCCUGAGCACCCUCUACACUUUCUCAGGCUCAGGCCAAGACCUGCCCCCUUCAGGAAUGGCCUCCCCAUCUUCCCUGCUGCCGGGAACCCUAGUUCUCACUCUCUUUGCACCCCGGCCAUUCUUAGCUGUGAUGCUCCAUACCCCACAGUCCCUCUGCUAGGGGGCGUCAGCUUGAGAGGAUCAGAGGCUCUGGGGCCCUUCUUUCUCAUAUUUUUUUUCUCCCAAAUA